rnacentral:rRNA from 1 species
UACGUAGGGGGCAAGCGUUGUCCGGAAUCAUUGGGCGUAAAGCGCGUGUAGGCGGCUUCGUAAGUCCGUUGUGAAAGUCCAGGGCUCAACCCUGGAAUGCCGAUGGAUACUGCGGAGCUAGAGUCCGGAAGAGGCGAGUGGAAUUCCUGGUGUAGCGGUGAAAUGCGCAGAUAUCAGGAGGAACACCAAUGGCGAAGGCAGCUCGCUGGGACGGUUCGACGCUGAGACGCGAAAGCGUGGGGAGCAAACAGGG